rnacentral:misc_RNA from 1 species
GAUGAAGAACGUAGCGAAAUGCGAUAAGUAGUGUGAAUUGCAGAAUUCAGUGAAUCAUCGAAUCUUUGAACGCACAUUGCGCCCCUUGGUAUCCCGAGGGGCAUGCCUGUUCGAGCGUCAUUUCACUACUCAAGCCUGGCUUGGUGUUGGGCGACGUCCUCUUUGGGGACGCGCCUCGAAACGCUCGGCGGCGUGGCACCGGCUUUAAGCGUAGCAGAAUCUUUCGCUUUGGAAGUCGGGGCCCCGUCUGCCGGAAGACCUGCUCGCAAGGUUGACCUCGGAUCAGGCAGGGAUACCCGCUGAACUUAAGCAUAUCAAUAAGCGGAGGA